CCUGACUCCAUUCCGAACUCAGAAGUGAAACGAAAUAGCGCCGAUGGUAGUGUGGGGCUUCCCCAUGUGAGAGUAGGACAUCGCCAGGC
rnacentral:rRNA from 1 species